rnacentral:rRNA from 1 species
AUUGAACGCUGGCGGCAUGCCUUACACAUGCAAGUCGAACGGUAACGGGCCUUCGGGUGCCGACGAGUGGCGAACGGGUGAGUAAUACAUCGGAACGUGCCCGCUCGUGGGGGAUAACGAGGCGAAAGCUUUGCUAAUACCGCAUACGAUCUACGGAUGAAAGCAGGGGACCGCAAGGCCUUGCGCGGACGGAGCGGCCGAUGGCAGAUUAGUUAGUUGGUGGGAUAAAAGCUUACCAAGCCGACGAUUAGUAGCUGGUCUGAGAGGAUGAUCAGCCACACUGGGACUGAGACACGGCCCAGACUCCUACGGGAGGCAGCAGUGGGGAAUUUUGGACAAUGGGCGCAAGCCUGAUCCAGCCAUGCCGCGUGCAGGAUGAAGGCCUUCGGGUUGUAAACUGCUUUUGUACGGAACGAAAAGCCUUCUUUUAAUACAGGAGGGUCAUGACGGUACCGUAAGAAUAAGCACCGGCUAACUACGUG